rnacentral:pre_miRNA from 1 species
AGGCCCCUCUGCGUGUCCACAGCGGACCUGAUUUUAUGUCUAUACAUUUAGGCACGCGGUGAUGCAAGAGAGCGCUC